rnacentral:misc_RNA from 1 species
AUUAAAAUGCAAAUGCCCACACAAAAACCCCUCCAGAAGUUUGUACAAGAACAUUAGAAGGCAGUUUUGUCCCUUCAUUUAUAUAAGUCAAAAAAGUGGUGAGCAAUAUACUGAUAAAUUUUUUUGCAAAUACUAAGAGCCGCCACCAAAUACAAAUAGAUAUUGGAAGAGAAGAGCUGUAAAGAGAGAAAUACAAUAAGAAUGUUAUAAUAAAAUAAAAAAAAGAUAUUAGUUUCAGCCCUUCCACUAAAAUGGUCAUUUUAAGGAUGUAUUUCCCAUCAUCCUGGCUUCAUUUGCUGUUAAUCGAUAUUUUAAGAACCACAGCAAGCUGAUAAUUUUGAGCUCG